GGUCGGGUGGCGCAAUGGUAGCGCGUUACUUUCCGGUGACAUGCCUCAGGAGAGUCUCCAUUCUCAGCUAGUAAAGGUUCUAGGUUCAAAUCCCAGCUCGAUCG